rnacentral:lncRNA from 1 species
CUUUUUCUUCAGCAAUCAACGGCCCGAUGUAGUAGACAGGAGGAGUGGGAGCAUCAGGAACACAAAGACCUUCAGCAAUGGCUUUGAGGACUGCAGGAGGCUCGAGCUCUUCAAACGUGUUGGCUAUGAUCCCAUUAGAUUUGGGAAGGUGGGUGCAGAAGUAGACCAUGUCCCAAUACGCAGGGUCGUCUCGGUCAAGCAUUGGCUCAGGCAUGUGGGGGGCAUUCAGGGGAGACUUCAACCCGGGAAACUCCAAAACAGUCUCGGUCAGAUCCUUGAAGCUCUUGGUAGUUUGUUCCCCGAUUUUCGGAAAAUACAGAAAAACCGCAAGAGCUGCAGCGCCAGAGGUGUAAAAGUAGUAGGUGGGAAUGCCGAGUUCCUUCGCCAUUGGCAGCGCAGAGGAGCAGAAGAUGUCGAUGAUAAAAGCGCGAAUGGCUGAAGAUUUAGAGAUCUCUUGGAGGGCAAGACGGACAUGUGGAUCAUUCCGGCGAAUGAAAUCGAACAAUAUGGCCUCGAAGCUGAUGGGAAUUAAUGUAAUUUUAUUUUCAACGCGAGGAAAUUGGUGGAAGGAGAUGGAAGGAUAGGCUCGGGAGAUGCGCUGGAUGUAGGCGGGGAUGCUUGGAGUGUCAACCAAACUGCCACAAGUGUAGAGAAUGGUAAUGGAGAAUUUUCUGGGGUAGCGAUUGAGAAUGAGCUUGCCUAGCUCAACCAUGGAGAUUAUGUGUCCCAUUCCUGGAGCUGCGUAGAGGACUAUUGUGUCUUCUUCCAUGGCUUUGGUUGGUUUGUGUUUCUGGUUUUCCCUUUUCAUUGCUCAAAGCUUUUGAGGGAGAAGACGUUUUGAAAUACUCUUCACUAAAAGUAGAUGGAAAUUCAAGUCUUAGGUGAAGCACGAGGCAAGGCACAGGUUGUACGCCAUCAUUUAUCAUGAUCAAAAGAAAAAGGGAAAUGGUUUUUUAAUGGAAUAACUAGGUUCUCACAUGCAUGAACAAGAGUCUUUGAUGUGCAUGUAUUACAUUUUCCACACUCAAACCAAGUUGUCAAAUCGAAAUGGAUAGAUUCCACAUGGUAGAAUAAAACCAUGAAAAUGACUAGAAAUAUCAUAAGUUUUCUAUGGGCCGAGAAAUAUCAUAAGUUUUCUCUCAAGUUUUCUAUGGGCUGCUUUUAAUGUUAAGAGUGGCAAGCUUCUGUAUGUUCAUGGGAUAAACCUGGCUAAGGUCCCCAUUGAAAGCUUUCCUCCCAAUUAUGAUGUUGGCUGCUGCUGUUGGGUGGAAAGCAUCCCAGAAUAUGUACUGGUCUCGAUUCGGGCAUGGUGUUUGGAGUGGAAGACAUGUAAUUUGGCCUCUGUUGCGCCCAAUGCCACAGCAUCCACGAUUUGCAACAGUGAAUCCUAGAAAUAAAAUUGCAAACGGGUUGAGACAUGGUCAACAAAGACAAAAUCUAAAGUUCUAUUUCAGUGAAGAAUGACUUGAAGUUAAAUAGUAGCCAGGCAUUUACCAUAAGAUCUGGCAUUGUUGACGAUGUCUUCGAAUAUUCGAGCAAUGUCAAUGUAAAUGAACUUUGCGCCUGGCAAGUUGGUGUUAAGUUUGUUGAUCAUUGUCUUCACAUUUGCAUUAAACGGUAGAACAAGGCGAUUCACUUCCUCAUUGCACCUUCCACUUGGACUCUGGGCCAAGAUACUUGGAAUGCAGCCCAUUCUCCCUAAUCCAGCAACAACAAACUUUCGAGCACCAAGAUUAUAGAGUCUCUGUAACAUGUCACAUACAGUAGGAUGUUAACUUAGGUAACUUACAGAGUCUAUCACAUGUGAUCAAGUCAUGGAAAAUGCGCGCCUACAGGUGAGCCCAUGAAUAGAAGUUCUUACAGUGAGUUGCUGGGUGUAUUGUUGAGUCAAAAGAUCAGCAAAUUGUGGAGCAUUGUACUGAGUUCUUGUGGGAUAGUUGGGCAUAAGAUAAUUGUUUAGGUAGUCAUUGCUGCCCAUUCCAACAAAGAAGAUGCAGUCUGCAAUUGCCCCGGCCACGUCAUCUGCCCCGAGAUUGUCUGUAAUCUGAUCAAGGGUACUCUGGAAGUUCCUUAUUUGUUCACCAAAAGGUAUUCUUCCCACCUGACACCAAAACAAUUGUUACCAAACAGUGGAACAUUGAAACACAUGCUUCUGGUUAAUUGUAGGCUGUAUAGUUUAGAUAUGUUGGAACAUGGCAAAAGAUUGAACUUGUGUUAUGUAAAGCACUAAGGCUUCUGCUAAUCCAUUUAAAAUCAAAUUCCUCAGUUAAAAAUUUCAGGAAAAAUAAAAUAAAAUAAAUUUUGUGGAUGAAGUAGUUAAUUAUAAUUACAAAGUUUCUGCCAGUGAUAUCAAGGAUUCCAGCUGCUGCAGAUGCAUAAUUGACUCCAUGAAGCACUUGGUCUCCAGAAGCUUCAGAAAAAGGAGGAAUCAAGGGAAGUCCUAGCAGUUCAGCUGCAUAUUGAAUAUUAUAUUUAUGUUAAAAUAAUAUACAUCAAAAUCACUUGGAAAACCCAAGAGAAACAAAUUUCUUUUUAAAAAAAUUAUAUUUUUUAUAAAUAAAAAAACACCAAUGUUGAAAUAUUGCCAUGAUUUAUAUCCAAAUUGGGAAUGAAAAGGCCCCCUUUAUAUGUAAAAAUGGUAGGACAGGUGGGUCCAUGCCAUAGCAGAGAGACAAAUUCUAUCUUUCUCGUACAGAGCAUACCAACAUUACCAAAGGGUAACCCAUAAUAUAUCUACAAAUUAAGGAUGGCUUUCAGAUCACUUAAUUUAUGUUUAAUUAAAGACCCAAUUUUAAAAAAUAAAGAACCAAUUUACCAACCCAAGAUGUUUCUUGCUCCCACACAUAAAAAGAUUAAAAUAUAUACAUAAACUUUGUGACUUAAAUUCAAUCAUAAUACACUGAAAUACUGAUCUCACAGCAAAACAUAUUACACUACAAAAUCAAAGAAGAGGAUCUAGUAGAGAGAGAGAGAGAGAGAGAGAGAGAGAGAGAGAGAGAGAGAGAGAGAGAGACCUAUUUCAUCAACCAUGGUGUAACCAUUGGAAAAACGACCGGUAGGGCCACCAUUGAAAUCAAUGCCAUAGGGGAAAUAGUUAGCCUUGGCAAAUGAUGGGAUGUUGUUGUUGUUGCCAUUGUCAAUCAAAGAGUCUCCAAACACAAACAUGGCAGGCACCAUUUCUGCGCUCCUCCCACCACCACCCACUUGACCUUGUGGUGCUGCUGCUGCUGCAGCCGCUGAUGAAAAGUUCACAUCUUGGCCCCAAACCGCCCCACCCAGCACCAUCAACCAGAAAACCACCAAAGAAAAAACCCUAAUUGGGGCCUUGGCCAUGAAUGAAUUAAUGUGUUUUGCUUGUUUUGAGAUGAUGAAUAUGUGGGAGAAAGUGAGAGAGCCACCUGUGUUGAUAAUGAAUGAGGUUUUUGAGUAUUGGCAAGAGCAUGCAAGGGAUGAUUUAAUAGGCGAGGCAAGGCGGUGGUUGUGAAUGGAAUAAAUGUUUUCACCUGUUAUCUUACGUGCAGGAAUUGAAGUAAAGAGUCCAUUUUUGUUCAAGGAUAAAUAAGAGUUUACUUUCCCAGCAUUGUUCUGCAUGCAGCUUCAAAUUCCCUCGCUAUUUUAUUUUAUUUUUUCCGUCUUUGGUUACAAACGGGGCCCGAGGCCGAAGCAAAACCAAUAGGCACAAGAGACUAAAGUUCAAGGUAGUUUGCUUUUAUCACAUGGUAAUAGUUAUUACGAUGCUUCUUUCAAAAAAAUAAUAAUAAUAAAUAAAUAAAUAUAUAUAUAUAUAUAGUUAGUAAUUAUGAUGCUGCGAAUGGGGUGCCCAGUGAAAAAGGUUAUCAACUUGCACAAGACCUUAAGUUCAAAUUUUUAUGGCAUCUUAGUUAUAUGUGUGUGAGAAAUCCCCUCUCCUUAGUUAUAUGUGUGUGAGAAAUAAUUAUUACAAUACUAUCUCUAGUCUUUUGGUAAGAGCAUUAGCAAUGCAUUCCCUAACCCACAUCAGACAAAAAUUCAAAUUAAUUUGUUUUUUUUUUGUUGAUAUUUUAUUUAUUUUUUGCCAAAGGGGAGGGGAACACAUAGUUACAAUAAGUUUUUGAAGUCAUAACCACUUGGGAACGCACCAAAGAUCUGGAUCGAUCCAACUAACGACUCAUUAGUCAAAGUAAUUUGCUUUUACCAAUUAUUCCGAUGCUCUCUCUAGUUUUUUAUAGUUUGGUAAACGACGUAAGUUCAAGGCAGGCAGAGUUAGGUUCAAACCACCACUCUUGGAACCCAAUAUGUAAAGACACCUAGACCUAGCUGCCAUUUUAGAGUUUUAGGAACUUGAAUGAAGUUAUGGCAAAGACACCUAGACCUAGCUGCCAUUUUAGAGUUUUAGGAACUUCAAUGAAGUUAUGGGAAAAAGGACUGGUUAGCAAAUACACUUCAUUUGCUAUGACCUAGCUCACAGCAAAGUAUUAAAAGAUUUCCAAAUAUAGUAGCAUGCUUAAUGUUGGUGGAGCCAACAUGCCCUUUUAUUAAUGUUCUUGUUUUGGACUUAAACCUUUCAAUACAUUUCUAUCGUUUGGCCCAAAGAAAAAAAAAAAAAAAACCACCAAAAUAAGAGAGAAGAAAAAGGUAAAAUCUACGAGCUACUUCCAACAACUAUGAUAAAUGAAGGCAAUACAUUUAAAUUAUAAAAGUUUAAUUAUUGAAGGAAUUAUAAAGUUUUGAACCUGGUUCUACUACUAUAAUAUUCAUUUGCAUAAUUUGUUAAAGAUAAAAUAAAUUCAAAGACUUCUUUUUCUCAACUUUGAGCUAUUUCAAUUUCAACAUAUUUUUUCUUAUAAUUUUUUUCUUUAAUAAAAUAGAAUGAUAACCACUAUAUAUGACACUCAGCUUUACCAGAUAAAAGCAUAGUGUUUACAGACUGAGAAUACAUAAAUGUGAUGUGUUACAUUUUCCACACUCAAACAAAUUAAGAAUAUAUAAAGUAAAAUCAAAACGAAUGGAGCCAAAUGGUAAAGUAGAUAGGAAGCACCCAACUUUAAUUGCUAGAAAUAUAUGGAAGGUUCAAUAAUUUCUAAUGGUUGCUUUUUUUUUUUCUUUCGAAAAUAAGCGAUAGUAUAUUAUUGAUGAACAAACAAAAGUACAAAGUAACUAUGUGCCGAAUAUGGGUAAAUAUUUUUCAGUGACCAAAUAGUUGGGUAAAGGGCAAAGACAUUUACUUAAAUGCUGAAAAUGAAAAUAAAGUAAUUUGUAUACUUAGAGUGCACCACCAUCAGCUAAACAAAUGGGCCAUUUGAAGCACCUAUAAUGGUUUUUCUGGCGAAGGAAGGUGCAACUGCACCUCCUUACGCAUUUAGUGAAAAAAUUUUAAACACAAUAAGAUGGACAAGAAGAUGCACCCUUGGUAUUUUCCUUUAUUUUUUUAUUCACCAAGUGCAAAGUGCAAAUACAUAACUUAUGCAAUGCUAUUAACAAAGUUAACGAAGUUUCUAGUGGAUGAACCAGACUCACUCCAAGCCGCCAAAGCUAUCUCUCCCAUUUUCCUGCUCCUUUCUCUAAGCUCUUCCCCUUUUUCCGACUCCAUCAACUCCCUAACGCUUCUCUCCAAUUCAUCCCCCAACACAAACCAUCUUCCUCUCUCUGCUUCACAGCAAUUGCCAUUUCCAUGUCCUUCACCAAAAUACUUUUAUUCAAAUGCUGCUUUGCAUAGAGUGACCAUGCCACCAUCGGCACGCCGGCAAUCACCGCUUCAAGCACCGAGUUCCACCUACAAUGCCUCACGAACCUGCCCACGGAUUCCUUCUUCAACACCGCCACUUGCGGCGCCCAUGACUUCACCACCAAGCCUUCAUCUUAGGUCCUCUCCAAGAACCCUUAUGGCCACAAACCUUCCAACUCAAAGUCAUGUACUCCUUGGACCUGCUUGGUUUUCUCAUCAAGGGGAAGCUUCUUCAUCACCCACAAAAACCUCUGUCCACUCUUUUCCAACCCAUCUGUUAUCUCUUUCAAUUGAGCCCCUGAGAAUGAUCCUCUGCUUCCAAAACAGAGAAACACCACACUUCUACUUGGCUGCUGAUCAAGCCAUGACAAACAAUCUUCUGCAUCUGCAGAAUCCCCAAAUUCUUUUUCUUCAGAAAUCAAUAGCCCGAUGUAGUAGACAUGAGGAGUGGGAGCAUUAGGAACACAAAGACCUCCAACAAUGGCUUUGAGGACUGCAGGAGGCUCGAGCUCUUCAAACGUGUUGGCUAUGAUCCCAUUAGAUUUGGGAAGGUGGGUGCAGAAGUAGACCAUGUCCCAAUAAGCAGGGUCAUCUCGGUCAAGCAUUGGCUCAGGCAUGUGAGGGGCAUUCAGGGGGGACUUCAACCCGGGAAACU